CCUACGGGUGGCUGCAGUGAGGAAUAUUGGUCAAUGGGCGGGAGCCUGAACCAGCCAAGUCGCGUGAGGGAAGACGGUCCUACGGAUUGUAAACCUCUUUUGCCGGGGAGCAACGGGGUCCUUGCGAGGGCCCGAUGAGAGUACCCGGAGAAAAGGCAUCGGCUAACUCCGUGCCAGCAGCCGCGGUAAUACGGGGAAGGCGAGCGUUAUCCGUUUUUAUGGGGUUUAAGGGGUGCGUAGGUGGGCUGUUAAGUCAGCGGUAAAAUGUCGGGGCUCAACCCCGGCCUGCCGUUGAAACUGGCGGCCUCGAGUGGGCGAGAGGUAUGCGGAAUGCAUGGUGUAGCGGUGAAAUGCAUAGAUAUCACGCAGAACUCCGAUUGCGAAGGCAGCAUACCGGCGCCCGACUGACGCUGAGGCACGAAAGCGUGGGUAUCGAACAGGAUUAGAUACCCGGGUAGUC
rnacentral:rRNA from 1 species